GACGAACGCUGGCGGCGUGCCUAAUACAUGCAAGUAGAACGCUGAAGGAGGAGCUUGCUUCUCCGGAUGAGUUGCGAACGGGUGAGUAACGCGUAGGUAACCUGCCUGGUAGCGGGGGAUAACUAUUGGAAACGAUAGCUAAUACCGCAUAAGAGUAGAUGUCGCAUGACAUUUGCUUAAAAGGUGCAAUUGCAUCACUACCAGAUGGACCUGCGUUGUAUUAGCUAGUUGGUGAGGUAACGGCUCACCAAGGCAACGAUACAUAGCCGACCUGAGAGGGUGAUCGGCCACACUGGGACUGAGACACGGCCCAGACUCCUACGGGAGGCAGCAGUAGGGAAUCUUCGGCAAUGGAUGGAAGUCUGACCGAGCAACGCCGCGUGAGUAAAGAA
rnacentral:rRNA from 1 species